rnacentral:lncRNA from 1 species
GACCCAUGGGGAGCUUCCCUUCGAAAACUGCGGCAUUGACAGCCAGAAGAGCACUCUAGAAGGCAGAUACUUGCAGCAGGCAAGUUAAGAAAACAAGCUCUGUGUUUGAACCCCUGGCAGGCCGCAUGUUCUGAGGAUGACAUGGGACAAGUAAGGUACCAAUGGCUGCGCAACACCUUGUUUUCAUCAAAUGAAGACACACACUCAAUGCAAUUUGGCCAGAACCAGCAGGAGAGGCUCUGGAAACCAGGUGUGAGCAGCAGGAGGGGCUGUCUCAAGUAAGCUCCAUGAUCGCACUGGCAGAGCUGAGCCUGGAAUGCUCCCGUUCUGACGUGCCUUGGGUUUUCACUGCUUUUUAAAAACAAUUCUUACAUUUUCCUUGCCUUGUUGCAUAUCCUAAAGUUGCCUGUAAAAUUUUGGGUAGAAGUGUUGAGAGUGGGCAUUUUUUUUCUUGUUUACUAUUUUAAGUGAAAAUACUUGAUAUUUUUACUUUUGUAGUUGUAGACUAUUUUAGAUAUGCUUUAUCACAUUGAAGAAGUUCUGUUUCUAGUUGUAAAGAGUGAUAAAUUUAAAUUUUUUUCCAAUGUCUAUUGAAAUAAUUAUACGGCUUAUUUAAUAUGGUGGUAUACAUUGAUAGAG